rnacentral:lncRNA from 10 species
AGAGGGGGAGAGAAAGAGAAAAUGUUUUCAUGGCCUACAGUAACGGUCCUUGUUUUCCAUUCACAUUGGCUUCUUUUUCGUUUCCCAGAUGUGUCUAACUCAUUCAUUCUAUUCGGCCUCUGAACAUGUACACUCUAGAACGCUCUCUCCAUGGUUCUUAGUACAGCUAGUCUACCGGUAUCCCUUGGAUCUGUGUUUAGAUGGCACCUUCUGUAGAGGCUUUCCGACAACCAUAUUUAAACGGACUUCUUUCAGUGAACUGAAUAAAAGAUGCACAGAAAGAUGAAUCUUAAAAAGGAGAAUAAGUUAUCUCUUCAAGCAAAUGGAAUUCAGCUCACACUUCACUACAAACUCAGGAAGAAAACAAGAAGGAACAAAUGAAUGAAAGAAAGAAGAAAGGAAAAACGGAAAGAAUGAGAAAGAGAGAAGAGAAAGAGGGGAAGGGAAAAGAGAGGAAAGAAAGGAAGGGGAGUGGGAGGGAGGAGGGGGAAGGGA